UACAGCGGGGGCGUGCACUAAUCGGAAUUACUGGGUGUAAAGCGCACGUAGGCGGCUUGGUAUGUCGGGUGUGAAAUCCCCGGGCUCAACCUGGGAACUGCAUCCGAAACUGCAUUGCUAGAGUAUGGGAGAGGGAAGCGGAAGUUCCGGUGUAGCGGUGAAAUGCGUAGAUAUCGGAAGGAACAUCAGUGGCGAAGGCGGUUUCCUGGACCAAUACUGACGCUCAGGUGCGAAAGCGUGGGGAGCAAACAGG
rnacentral:rRNA from 1 species